ensembl:snRNA U6 U6 spliceosomal RNA
GAUUGGUAUUCCAUCCUGGGCAACAGAUUGGAACACUACAGAGAAGACUGGCAUGGCCCCUGAGCAAGGAUGACAUACAAAUUCAUGAAGCGUUCCAUAUUUUU